rnacentral:rRNA from 1 species
AUGGCAGAAUAUUGGUACAAUAUGUCCUUCCACUCCUCGUUGCAGAAAAUUCCAUUUGAAGCUCUGUACGGCUAUCCACCACCAAGCAUCAGUGAGAAUAUCCUACCUGACAAUAUCAGUACAAAGGCACUGGAGUUUUUGCACGACAGAGAUAAACGGAUGCAGCAACUGAAAGCUAACUUGACAGUCGCUCAAGCACGCAUGAAGAAAUAUGCAGAUCAAAAAAGGUCUGAGCGCAUUUUCCAAGAGGGUGAUAUGGCUUACCUGAAGAUGCCACCCUACCGUCUUAAUGCAAUUGGCUUGCAUACACAUAUCAAACUGCAGAGCAAGUUCUACUGGCCUUUCCGUGUGCUUGCGAAAGUGGGCAACGUCGCUUAUAAACUCUUGCUACCUGCAAUUCCCAGAUCCAUCCGGUGUUUCACGUCAACCAAUUGA